rnacentral:rRNA from 1 species
GAUGAACGCUGGCGGCGUGCCAAUACAUGCAAGUCGAGCGAACAGAUGAGGAGCUUGCUCCUCUGACGUUAGCGGCGGACGGGUGAGUAACACGUGGAUAACCUACCUAUAAGACUGGGAUAACUUCGGGAAACCGGAGCUAAUACCGGAUAAUAUAUUGAACCGCAUGGUUCCAUAGUGAAAGACGGUUUUGCUGUCACUUAUAGAUGGAUCCGCGCCGCAUUAGCUAGUUGGUAAGGUAACGGCUUACCAAGGCAACGAUGCGUAGCCGACCUGAGAGGGUGAUCGGCCACACUGGAACUGAGACACGGUCCAGACCCCUACGGGAGGAAGCAGUAGGGAAUCUUCCGCAAUGGGCGAAAGCCUGACGGAGCAACGCCGCGUGAGUGAUGAAGGUCUUCGGAUCGUAAAACUCUGUUAUUAGGGAAGAACAAAUGUGUAAGUAACUAUGCACGUCUGGACGGUACCUAAUCAGAAAGCCACGGCUAACUACGUG